rnacentral:misc_RNA from 1 species
GAUGAAGAACGCAGCGAAAUGUGAUAAGUAAUGUGAAUUGCAGAAUUCAGUGAAUCAUCGAAUCUUUGAACGCACCUUGCACCCUUUGGCAUUCUGAAGGGUAUGCUCGUUUGAGUGUCAUUGUACUCUCACACUCCCGAUCUUUGCAUUGGGAGCAGUGGACUUGGGUUUGCUGCUUCACCGUCGCUUACCUCAAAUAGGUUAGUGCAACUCUUGGUUGGACAUAGUACGGCGUGAUAAGUGUUCUUCGCCGGUGCCUCGCAAAGAGGGUGGCCGAUCGGGAUGUUGUGCUCCAAACCGUCUUCGGACAAUCUCUGACGACUUGACCUCAAAUCGAGUAAGACUACCCGCUGAACUUAAGCAUAUCAAUAAGCGGAGGA